AAAAGUUAGCGUGCAAUAAAUUCUAAUAUUGCACUAGUGCAAUAAAUCUUCAAAAUUCAUGACGUCAUUAACGACAAAAUCUUAGUUUAAACCAAUUUUUACUUUCAAAUAUUAUAUUGCUAUACAAUAAAAGGUUUUGCAUGAAUAUUGGGGAAUAUUGUCCCUCGUAGAACAUAUAUUGCACUCGCAAGCUCGUGCAAUAUAAAAUUCUACUCGGGACAAUAUUCCCCAAUAUUCAUGCAAUAACCCUAUAAUAUU
rnacentral:lncRNA from 1 species